UACGCAAUCUCUGUGUUCUCUCUCCUUUAACCAUUUUCUGCCCUUUACCGUCUAUCUCCCCAUCCUUCUCCGGCGGACGUUGCUGGUUCUUGCCGCCUCCGGCGCGACGAUGACGGCGUCUCCCCCCCAUUUUUUCUAUCUUCUCUCUUUCCCCAUCUCAUUAAAUUAAUGCUACCUAGGGUUCUCUCUAAAUUUCCCCCUUCAAUUCCACUUUUCCGGUGAAGUCUGUCGUCGUCGCUGCUACUACCGCCGCCUGAACGUCUCCCUGCCUCAGCCAUCGCAGACCACUCUGGCGCAGGCGGCACUGGCGGUCGCCGCCGUCGGACGCGCCCCAUCGUUGUGGCUCGCAGCUGCUGCUGGUGCGCCCCAUCAGAUCUGCGGACGAAUCCAUGGUGGAUAAGAAAAUGGGAUCUGAAUCUUGAUUUUUUGUGUGUUUUUUAUCUUGAGAUGAAUCGACAGUGGGGGAAGGAAGGAUUGUUGGGAGCGCCCCAUUAUUCAUGUACAAAAUACGAAUUUGAUUGUUUAUGAUUGCGAAAUACUCCCUCCGUCCCUGAAA